rnacentral:rRNA from 1 species
AAAUUGAAGAGUUUGAUCAUGGCUCAGAUUGAACGCUGGCGGCAGGCCUAACACAUGCAAGUCGAACGGUAACAGGAAACAGCUUGCUGUUUCGCUGACGAGUGGCGGACGGGUGAGUAAUGUCUGGGAAACUGCCUGAUGGAGGGGGAUAACUACUGGAAACGGUAGCUAAUACCGCAUAAUGUCGCAAGACUAAAGAGGGGGACCUUCGGGCCUCUUGCCAUCGGAUGUGCCCAGAUGGGAUUAGCUAGUAGGUGGGGUAACGGCUCACCUAGGCGACGAUCCCUAGCUGGUCUGAGAGGAUGACCAGCCACACUGGAACUGAGACACGGUCCAGACUCCUACGGGAGGCAGCAGUGGGGAAUAUUGCACAAUGGGCGCAAGCCUGAUGCAGCCAUGCCGCGUGUAUGAAGAAGGCCUUCGGGUUGUAAAGUACUUUCAGCGGGGAGGAAGGGAGUAAAGUUAAUACCUUUACUCAUUGACGUUACCCGCAGAAGAAGCACCGGCUAACUCCGUGCCAGCAGCCG